UGCUAGCUUCGGAGGUGAGCCCGACGAGACGCGCCGUACCGGGAUGCAGGCAAAGACGACGCACC
rnacentral:ncRNA from 1 species